rnacentral:lncRNA from 1 species
UCAAAAUGAUAAUUUUAACUUAACAUUUUAUCCGAGUCAAGUUUUUGAGUCAAAAAGUCAACACAAUAACUUAAGCGUGGAUUUGGAAGCUAGAUACUAACUACAAAAGAAUAUGGAUGAUUCUCAAGUUAGUUUUUAAGCUUAGAAUACCUAAUGUAAAAGAGUUUUUUUUUAAAAUAAAAUAAAAUUGAAGAACUUGAACAAAAUAUCUUCCCAAGGAUUCAUCUAAGUUAGUAGUCAACAAAUAAAAUAAUAAAUAAUAACACAUCCGACAUGGUAAAAUAUGACAAAAUUUAAAAGAAUUUGGACUUUUGGUCCAAACGAAGGUAGGCGCUGCUGUUGCUGAAUUAAAGUUGGACUUUCUUUUAAGUCCAAUUUUCAAUUUUCGUUUCAGCCAUUUAGGCUACUGCUGCUGCUGCCAUAGUGUAAAAUUGGACCUUUUUAAGUCCAAAAAUCCUCAAUUUUAGUCCAUUUGGGACUGCUGCAAUAAUCAAAUUGGAUUCUUAAAUCCAAAAUUCAAUUUCCUGCCAUUUUUUAUUGCUAUUACUCCGCUACUUAGCUGCUGCCACUGAUUUGGGUUUAAACCCAUUAACAUUAGCUUCCCUUUCACGAUUUCGAUGAGGUUGACUCAAGAAGAGAAAAAUGCAAGAGAGGGGAGUCCAUUGGACUCAUUCGGAGAGAGUUCAUGAAAAGAAAAUGAGAGAAAUAAGGAUUAGACGUCUGAUGAAAUAAAUCAAUUAACUGGAUUCAUUAAAUUGCUAAACAACCAACUUAAACCAGAUACAAAAUAUAACACUUGAAGUUACGAAAUGAAAGUACUACUAACAGUGAUCACAAAGAUAUUAGACACAAAUCAGGACAAACACCUAUCCUUACGGAAUCUAAAGUCAAAUGCCAAUUAGCACGUCAUUAUUUCAAUGCAUUCAAUAAAAGAGACCAUACUAGUACUAACAUAAAAUGAGAAACAAGUAAAAUGCCAAAACUAAUUAAAUAAAAGAUAAGGUAAUGAAUAGAUCCACUUAUGAUCUACAACAAACAAUAAGAAAUUCACUACUAGUAUAAACCAAUAACAGUCCUAGAUGGAGGAACUAACAACGAUAGGCAGCCAAAAAUUUACAUAACAACAACUAAACCCAUUUGCUAUUAAGUAUACUGCUACUUGAACACAACCUUGGACUAAAACAAAACAAAAAAAAAAAAGAGUGCGAAACGAAUUCAUACAUAGUUUAAAGAUAAGCAAGUUUAGACUCAAUUUGAUCAAAGUUUUAAGCCAUCUCCUUUAGCAUACACGAAGGACAAAUAAGAAAGCAGAGAGCAGGAAGAUAUAAAAAUAACUUUACGCCGAAAUAACUUAGCGAUUUAAACAAGGAUUCAAGUAGAGUAGUCUAAUAAAUUUUAGGAUGUAUAAAAACUAUGAUAUGAGCUUUCACCCAUCCCAACCUAACUCUUUUGAGAGUACUAAAGAGCAGCCCCCAAACGUAAGCUAUUUCUCACUCAAACGGUCCCUUGAUUUGCGUUGAGAGCCAAAUGAUCUGUUGAUUAGCAAAUCACACUAACACAUUUAUGCUUACAGGAGUCUACUAAAGAGACAUUGAUCCUUGCUUAAAGGGGAAAAUCGAAUUAACCUUGUGUAUACCUUGAGCAAAAUAAUUAAACUAAUUUAAAGAUAAGAAAUAUGCUAAACCAUGAUCAAUACGAGAGAGAAUCAGCAGCUAAUCUUAACACAUAAACAAACUCAAGCUUAUUUAAUACUCAUCGUCUGGACAAAACAAUCUUAAACUCAUACCACCAAUAAGAUUUCACCUUAAAAAAAAAAAACAACUAAUCAGCAGUUUCACAUUUAUAAAACAGAUCGGAGAAAUCAGGCUUCGACAAAAAUAGAGGCAAUAAUCUUAACACAUAAGACAACAACUUAAGGCAGAAAACAACAACUAUAUAACAAGAAUUUCGAAAUCAAAUAAGAAUAACAGUAACUAGAAGCACAUAUAUGAACUCGAUUAAGUGAAAGAAUCACAUUCAUAUCUCUGAAUCAUAAGAAAACAACCAUCAAUAGAGAAAAAUAUUUAAACUCAUUCAAAAUUGACUUGACUUUAAAAUAACAGGAUAAUGAAGACCUUUUUCUGUCAUUCACACCACUAAUCCCAUUGAAUCUAAAAAAGACAAAUAACAAUACUAAACAAAUAACAACUCUACAACGCAACAGAAAGAAAAGACUGAAGAAAGAGCAAGAGAUUACCUGGUUCUGGGCAGCGACUGGAACUCGAGUCUGAACGUGGCGAACUCCACCACCACUCCGACUCAAAAUAGCCGCGGAUCAAUUGAAUUUCAGUGACGAAAAUAAGAACUCCCAAAAACUUAGCGGGGUGCUCUUUUCUUCGCCUCCCAAAACUCUCCCCCGUGAACAGUAAGAAGGAGGUUAUUUAUAGGGUUGAAAAAUCUGAAAAUCACAGCCUAGAAACGAUAUGGGACUGCGAGUAAUUUAAAAAAUCUUCAGCGGACAAGGCUACACAGCUGGAAGGUGUACUAUUCCAGUACUAAUCCAACGGAAAAAAUGAUCUGGAACGCUUGAUUCUUGAGAAGGACGAUUGAGGUAUCGAGAUCGCAACACCUGUCUCGUCCUUGUACGAUUGCAUACUGAAAGGGUAAGGGAGAGAGGAGAGGACCACGCAGGUCUGGGUCGGGUUCACUGGGGCUCGGGUCUGCUGGGUUUACCGUGGAAUGAAGAAGACUGUAAAGGGGUCUGGGUGUUUUUUUCCAGAAGAAUAGUGGGUUGGGUCUUUCUUUGUUCCAAAUGGGUCUUGGUUGAAUGACAUGGUCCUUUGACCAUAUCUUAAUUAAAUUGAAAGCGAAAUAAAUUACGUAUUUAAUUAACUAUUAAGCUUCUUAACUUUAACAACAUCAAAUAAUCAUUUAACAUAAAAAAUAUUUCGAAAUAAAGAGAGUAGUUAUGUUUUUUUUUUUUUUUUUUUUUUUUUUUUUUUUUUUGAGGAAGUAAAUCGCACACUUAGUUAAACUCUAUUUUUAGUAAAACUAUUUUUCUAAAUAUUUAAUCAAGGUGAUAAAUACAUAAAUUUAUAUAUUAUAAGUAUAUAUAUAUAUAUAUAUAUCUUAUAGGAAAAUGACCAAAUUGUCUUGAAAAUGGUCUCGAAAGAUUUGUAAAUACUUAUUUCAAAUUGUUUGAAAUUAAAGAAGCUUGAAAAUUAACUAAAUUGUGGAGGGCCAAAAUUGGGUGUCAACACCCUCGAAGAACAAUAAGGCCACACGUAUCCACCACCUGUGGAAUCGGUAGACAUACACAACAACAACAACCGCAUCAAGACAGACGAUAAUCUCUAGAAGUGUUGUCUUUUAUAUUUUCUAUCAUGUCCCUUAUAUGUUCUAUCAAUUUUUUACAAAUUAUAUAUAUAAGAUUGAAGUUUUCGAACUCCAACAUAUAUACAUGGUUCAUGUUUACUAUAGAUUAUUUAAAGAGUAUAUUGCUUUUUUUACCUUGAUAUGAAGUAUAAUUUUUCUCAUGUUUUCAACAUAUUCAUCAAUAGGCAUUUCCACCAAAAUAAGUAUGACUAAAGAAGGCUGAAUUUUAUCAUUCUGCAGGUGAAUAAACCAAAUUAUAAUUUCACAUAAAAAAAA